rnacentral:rRNA from 1 species
GACGAACGCUGGCGGCGUGCUUAACACAUGCAAGUCGAACGGGAAGGCCCUGCUUUUGUGGGGUGCUCGAGUGGCGAACGGGUGAGUAACACGUGAGUAACCUGCCCUUGACUUUGGGAUAACUUCAGGAAACUGGGGCUAAUACCGGAUAGGAGCUCCUGCUGCAUGGUGGGGGUUGGAAAGUUUCGGCGGUUGGGGAUGGACUCGCGGCUUAUCAGCUUGUUGGUGGGGUAGUGGCUUACCAAGGCUUUGACGGGUAGCCGGUCUGAGAGGGUGACCGGCCACAUUGGGACUGAGAUACGGCCCAGACUCCUACGGGAGGCAGCAGUGGGGAAUAUUGCACAAUGGGCGGAAGCCUGAUGCAGCAACGCCGCGUGCGGGAUGACGGCCUUCGGGUUGUAAACCGCUUUCGCCUGUGACGAAGCGUGAGUGACGGUAAUGGGUAAAGAAGCACCGGCUAACUACGUG